GGUGGAUCAUAGGAUCUCGGGUUAGGGAGAAAACUAGAGAGGUCAUUUUCUUUAUUCCUCUCCCUUUGAGUAGCAUUACAGAAAAGCGAGAGUCCAUCUCCUUUGAUUUAGAGGAUCCCAGAGAAGGUAGUUCUUCACCCAUCCUGGUCUAACUCUCAUUCUAGGCUUUCUUUGGUUCCAAGCUCAAUUUCUCCUGCUGUUCCAAAGGUAUUGAGCUCUUUCAGUCUUAGUGCCACAAAAAGCAUGGGAAUGAGUAUCUCUGUUGAUUGGGGUUUUUAUAUUCUUGCUUCCUCUUUGACUUUGGUCAGACCCUGAGGAUUUAAUAUCACGCUUUCCCUUAUAUGCACCAAAUACUGCUGCCUAAAAAAAUACUUUACUUAAAUUUAGAUAAAAAGUCUUUACAUUCACUGUAACAAAAUGUCUGUGGCAGAUAUAUCUGGACCUCAGUUUCCUUCUCUGUAACAUAAGGGAGUUGGACUAAAUGACCUUUAAAUUUCUUUUCAGUUCUAGUACUCUGAUAAUCAUAGCUAAGUGUAUUUGUUUCAGGUCCAGGAUAGAGUCCCCACUCUCCCAUCUUCAUAGGUGGGUGAUCAGGAACAUUGGGACAUUUUGGGGGAACAGAAGCUUGUUAAAAAUCUAUCCUGACCACUCUAAUUUCUUACUUCUCAUACAGACUUAGUGUUCUCUUAGAUUCUGUUGCAAUGUGAGAAGAAUGAAUAGAAUUAUAGACUAUUUGAGUUGGAAGACUCCUUAUGUUACAGACUAUGGGAGGAAGCUUAGUACAUGGAGUGUCAGGGCUGGAUGGACCCUAAGAACAAAGAAUAUCAGAGUUAGAAAGGACUUAGAACAAAAAAUAUGGGUCAGACCUAGAAAGAACCCAAAGAUGUAGAAUUCUAGAACAUAGGUCAUAUAUAUAUAAAAGCUGAGAGGUCAUUCAGUUCAACCUCAUUUUUAAACACAGAAAAUGUUAUUUUUGAUGGAUUACUAACAGAAAUAGGUUAACCUGUGAUCCAUGUAAAUUUCAAUAAUUCCUUUAUAAAUACAUUUAAAAUGCUUAUACAUUUCCAACGAAAUGUCAAAUUUCGUGGCUACAGCUUUUAAACCAAGUUUUUUGGUAGUCUUUAACAAACUGACUCACAGUGAGAUUCAGGGGAAUUAUAGGGUAAAGACUCUUCAAACCAGUGAGGCCGAGAAUGGUAUGCUUACCAGCACGUUCCUUGUAAUUACGAGACAUAUUUAAUACCAACUAUUGUUCAGUGAAAUGAAAACAAUAUUAUAUAAAAUGUAAAAGACACUUAGCUGUGAACAGAAUAUAUUGGUUGGUCACUGCCUUUUUUUUUUUUUAAACUAGACCAAUCUCCUAGUUUUACUGUUGGGAAAAUGGCCCCAGGCAAAGAAAAUGACUUGCUUCAGAUUACAUACUAAGUUAGUGACAGUGCUGGAACCAAACUGCAGUCCUUCUGAAUUUUUAAUUUCCAAUUCCACAGAGAAGCUCCAUUUCUUUUGUUUUGUAUUCCCUGGGUUGCCAUUAUGUAUUCCAUUCUCACUGCCUGACUGACCCCUAGUCUUUACAGAGGAAAAAUUUGUUUCUAUUAAUUCAGAGCAGGAAUAGGAAGAGCCACUUGGUUAAGUGUCCAGAGGCUCAGACCAUUAUUGCCCCCUAUACAUUUUUAAAAAGUACCCAAAGAGUAGAUUUAGUCUUUUUUCUCCCCCCUAUGUAUAUAGAUCUGGUGCUGUUGUCCUUUGAGGUCUUUUCCUAUAGAUUUAGGGCUAUUUCGAGUGCUUGGCCCAUAAUAGUUAAUUAAUAAAGUCCUGUUGACCAACGAUAUUCCUUGAAGGCCACUGAAGAAUAGAAGGAGAUAUUUUCAGUAGUCACUACUUUUGUCUAUUUUGUGAAAAAAGAAGCGAGGAAAAUAUUGGUCCACUCCUGACUAGAACAGCCAGUUCUGCAGAGGAUUCCUAAACAAUUAUAACAGGAGUCUCUUCUGUCCAUGUGUCAGUUCCAUGUCACUAAGGCAAAAUCUCCAGCUUCCAUUUGGUUGCUUUUUUAACUCCUCUAAAACUGACUUCGAUGUUCAUUGUUAUCUGAUUUUACCUGGAUAAAUACAUUGGCUGGAAAGAUUAGCAGCUUUAGCUGUUUUUUUUUCAAAGACCAGGACCCUCAGGUCCUUCCUAUGUAUCUCUAGAAUUAUACUCCACCAAGACACCUGAUCCCACUCCAUAUUUUUAAGGAUGGCCUUAAUGGGUUCCCCUUUUACCUUCAGAGAAUGAUUGUCAUUAUGAUUUUACAAUUAUCUUUGGGUCACCAAAAAUGAGGCAUUUUCAUACUUUUUAAACCAGCUCCUAUGGUCUCAAAUUGUCAGUGCAACAGAGAUAUUAUUUCAGGAAGGUCUUAUCUUUGCAGACUCACUGUGAGAAAGGUUACCUUCUGCUAUCACGGAGGUAUCAAGCAGAUUUAUUCCCUAAAGGGAAAAAAAAUAGACUCCUGCAAAACUGUGUUAAUGAUAAAAAUACAUAGAUAAAGAUAACAGACAUUUGUUUAGUUUUUUGAGAUAUUUUAAAGUUUUUUUUUUUAACAAUUUAUCUCAUUGGAGUCAUGCAGUUGGUAUAUUGCAGAUUUUUAUCUCCAUCUUAGAGAUUAGUGUAGUUAGGAAGCAUAGGAGGUGAGAUUUGAACCAGUCUGACUCCAAGUCCAAAGCUCAAACCACCAUACCAUGUUAUGAAUAGAGCAAAGGUACUGGGAGGGACAUACUUAGACUCUUGUUAGGAAAAUUUCUGUUCAUUUCAUCAAUGCACCUUUACCAAAUCUAGGGGCUCAGUUGAGUCUGAGAUGCUCUCUGCAAGGAACCAAAUCUUCCUAAAGCUCCAAAGAGAAUGCCUGGUAGUGUAUUAUAAUCUUUACAUGGCGGUAUGUUGGUUGUUUCUGUUGCUGAUAUUGGUAUUGUUUUUAUUAUUAAUGUUGUUGUUUUGGUUAUUAAGCUCGCUGGGUUUUUCCUCCUUGGAUCUUUCUUGCCCAUGACAUAAAACCUGCCCUCCUCCACAAUGGCGCUGCAGUUUGCUGCUGUCCCCUACCGUAGUGCUGAAACACUUUCCCCAUUCCCUGGCUUUCCCUGGCCAUGGUGCUGACAGCAAUGUCGCCUUUGUCUUCUUCAUACUACCUCUGGGCUGUGAUAUCUGUGUGUCUCUGUGUGGUGGUUUGGGGGGAUGGAUGUGAGAUGGUAGUUGAUCAGACUUUAGGAUCCAUAGGGUUCCUGGGACCUCUCACUAGCUAAAAGACCCUGGGGUUGGGGAGGGAUCUUGUUUUCUUCUGCUGCUUUUCUCGGUUGUCUUCUCUUCCAGCCACUAAGGACCAAGCCUGGACAGUUCACAAGCCCAUCCAAGGUCUGGAGCCCCGGAAAUGCUUGCCUUCAUUCUUCUUACUAUCAUCCAGUUGGUUGGAUACUUCCAGAGAAACUCUGCCUGUUCCAGAUUCCAAGAGCUGCUACAUCCUGACUCUUCCCCCCGGAGAAGUGACCAGCCUCGUCCAGAGUUCCAUUUCCAAGUCCCAGAUGGAGGAUACUCAGCCUAGGCCGACAGACUCGUCUUCUCAGGACCACCCCACCAUCCUGUCCCUUUCCCAUCCAGCAGAGUGAGUGCCAAAGCUCAGAGAAUGCUGGGAAGAGCCCUGCAUUUAGAGUUGGAUGGCAUGACUUUGAAUUCUGACCCUUCUACUUCUACUCAAGUGAAUUCUGACAAGUCAUUUCAACUCUUUGGGCCUCAGUUUCCCCUUUCUAAGGGAAAAGGACUUUAGAAUAAUUCCUUUCCAUAUGUAGAUCUAUGUAUGGACCUAUUAGUGAGUUCCUGACCUGGCAUCUGUUCCACAGAGAAGGAUGAUAAUUUAAUCAGGAGAUUCAGAAUACUGCUACCUACAAAGGUAGAGCUGCAGGUAAAGGCACAGGGAUGGAGCUUUGGGAAGAGUUCCAGCUGUGGCCAACUGUCUGCCCAGAGUCUGUACAGAGCCUCCAAGGAGACUUUCCAUGUUCUGCAGCCCUAGCCUCUUCUACCUGAGGGGCAGAGGGCUGGAUGCUGAUUCUAAUUCAGUCUCCAGCUUAAGGAAUCUCUAGCCUAGCAUAGGGCAGGAUAUAUUGGGAAAACCAUUGAAUCUGGCAUCCCAGCACUUGGGUUAGAACUUUGAGGAGCUAUGCAGUCUUGGGAAAGUAGCUUCGCCUAUCUGGCCUUGGUUUCCUUGCCUGUAAAAGGAGAGGGUUGGAUUACAUGGUCUCUAGAGGUCUUUUAACCCUUUAGGCUGCUGCUUCUUUGCCGGUCCCAACAAGUUUUGCUUCUCCCUCCUGCUCCUACUAGGGCAUCCGGCCUGUGGUCAAAACCAUUCUCUCAAUAAUACUUUCCCUAAUUCUACUUAGAAAGGCCCCUGCAGGAGGAGCUAGGGAUGUGAAGUUGUAAAAGGGAAAGUGAAAGGUGGGGGAAGAGCAGGUAGCCUACAUAGAGACCUCUCUGUUUCUCACCUUCUUCAAUCAUUCCUCAAAGGCAAAGCACCCCCUCUUUGUGAGGUUUGGUGGGAUCCCCCAGAAUCACAGGGGGAAGAUCUAUUGCUCCUUAUUGGAGUAGGACUGGUGGAGGCGAGGAGGGAAUGAUUUUCAGGAGAAAUGGAUGCUGAGCAAUUCCCUUUCCUCCUGACCCAGCUGUGAAUGGGUAGAGCCAUAUUCUUGAAUCACCUGACUUUAGAGACUGUUAGGUUUUCUAGUCCAGAUCGUGGGUCAAGGCCCUGUUCUGCUCAGCCAGUGGGGCAGGUGCCUAGCAAUCAGAAGGGGAAAGUGAGUGAGAUAUGGUACCUGAGCAAGAUUACCUUCCCCCAGUUCCCUAGCCACCCUUAACGACUGAGGGUAAAACCCAAGGGGAUCAGUAUUGGGAAGAAGUGGCUAAGGUCAAUUUGAUCCUCACCUGUCAAACCAUAGCUGAGGUGUUGACAGAUCUCACCUUAACCCCUCCGCCCCCUGAUUUUCCUCUCAGACAGCUGUUAUACUGUCAUUGCAAAGUUCUGCCUGUUGGUAGGAAGAAGGCAAGCAGGAGAGAGAUCCUGAACUGGGUGCACAGCUGGGGCUCUUUGACCUCCAGGCUCCAUUGAUUGAUUUCAAUUAUAGGAGCAAUGAAAUCUCACCUUCUGGGAGGCAGAGGACUGGAUUAGAUGAUCUAUUGAGAUUCCUUUCUGUUCUAGUUUCGAGGGAUCCAUGGCUUCUGGAAGUCAGGAAUGGUCUGGCACAAACUUGGAAAUACAGAAGUACCUUAAGAGUCAUAAAUGUCCUAUCACUGGAGGUCAAGUAGAGGCUGUAUUGCCACCUUCUAGGUCUAUAUACCCUUGCUUAAGACCAUGAGCAUUGAUGUCCUUGGGGUGAAUGCUCUUGGCCCUUCAGCCCUUAACUAUGACAGGGCUGCUGAGGAAGUAGUUUUGGAAGUUUGUUUAUCGUUUAUGUUCUUCCAGAAGGAGUAUAGACUUCUGUGAUACUGUAGAAAUAACCCUGGCCAUGGAGUUAGAGGAACUGGGUUCAUUUCCUACCUCCAUUGUUUAUUCUCUAUGUGACCUUAAACAAGUCACUUAACUUGAUCCUCAGUUUUCUCAUCUAUAAAAUGAGGAAGUUGGACUAAGUGACUUCUGAAACCUCCCAAGCCUAAAUCCGUGUAAUGACUCAUUAAGGUUUCCUCUCCUCUCUGAGGGUUCAAAUGACUCCUUUUAAAAACUAUUUAUCUGUUGAGCAUAUUUCACCUUUUAGAGUAUCUGAGUGAGUAAGAAUUAUGACCUAGACUGUGAAGAGCUCUUGUCCAGGAGAUUCAGGUUCUAGCUCCAGCUUGGCUGCAAAUUAUCUGUGUGAACUUGGGCAAGUUAUGAGCCUCAGUUUCCUCUUCUGCAAAAUUAGAGCAAUGGGCAAGAUGACCUCUAAGCUAUAAUUUUCCUAAAACUGCUCUUUGGAGGCUUGAAGGGGUGGCGGCGGUCUCAGUUCUGAACUCCUCUGUCCCAGUAUUGAGUGUCUCAGCACUGGACGCCUACCCUUCCUUCAUGCUUUAGUCCAUGCCUCAUGGCUUGGGACAUGGAAAACUACUUUCCAAUGAAUUCUAUGGAGGAAUCUUUGUAAACAUUGUAAAAAGCCCCACUCCCAAGUUCUAUGCUGUCUGAAUCCUAUACUUGGUCCUUCGGGAGAUCUCAGUGCAGACUGGUGGAGGGAAGAAGGCCAUGUUUUGCAGUUGAAGUCAAUGCAGACCAGUUUUCCCUCUAUGUGAGUGAAUGGGGCAAUAUUCAAAAUACCCCCAGGUUUUCCAGGCCAGCUGUUGAGUCAAGGUCCUGUUCUUCUUAAUCAGAAAACAAAAUUUCCAGGGCAGAUCUUGGGUCAAGGUCCCACUCUUUUUGGUCAGAAGUCAGUCUUCCAGGGCAGAUCUUGGGUCAAAGUCCCGCUCUUCUUAGUUGGAAGACAAUCCUCCAGGGCAGAUCUUGGGUCAAGGUUCCGCUCUUCUUAGUUGGAAGACAGUCCUCCAGGGCAGAUCUUGGGUCAAGGUCUUGCUCUUAGUCGGAAGACAGUCUUCCAGGGCAGAUCUUGAGUCAAGGUCCUGCUCUUCUUGUUGGAAGACAGUCCUCCAGGGCAGAUCUUGGGUCAAGGUCCCGCUCUUCUUGUUGGAAGACAGUCCUCCAGGGCAGAUCUUGGGUCAAGGUCCCGCUCUUCUUAGUCGGAAGACAGUCUUCCAGGGCAGAUCUUGAGUCAAGGUCCCGCUCUUCUUGUUAGAAGACAGGUGUCUAGCAGCCAGAUGGGAAAAGUCAAUGGAAUGUGAAACCUUAGCGAGAUAACCCACCCUCGAUCCCCCUCAAUCCUUAGACAUCCUCAUUGACCAAUAUUUUUGAUCAUUAGAAACUCAAGCUGGGUGAGGAGGUCAAAAACCCAGCCACAAAUUCUCAUGUUAGUCUGGAAGUUUUUUCAGUUUUUAGCCUUAUUUUAGUCCAACCCAAUCCCCCCAUACCUGUAGAUCGAGAAGAAGCCAGUUCCACCUUCAACAAGCUUAUAGUCUGGUGGAAGAAGUCCGAGUGUUGCAUAUAAAUCAGAGACCAACAGAAACGGAUACAAAAAUCAGAGAAUGGCGGCACGGUUCAGAAAAGAACCCUGGAUUUCGAGACAGGACCAUUGAUUACCUGUGUGACCUUGAGCAAACUCCUUCAGCUAGUUUUCUUCUCUGUAAAAAGAAGGGUGGGCUGGAUGGCCUUGGAGGUCUCUUCCUGCUCUAGGUCUGUAAUCCUGUGAUGCAAAGCAAGACGGACAGUAAGGAGAAGAGAGAAAGCAUGGCCGGGGGAAGUCACGGCAGUUCCAUGGAGGCAGAGCCAUAACUAGAGGUUUCUCUACCUGGGUCAAAUGGCAGCAGAGCAGCAAGAGUGUGGGGAGUGAGGAGAGACUUAAUUGGGUUGUGCUCCCUUGGGAGCAGGAGGCUUCCAAGCUAGGGAUUUUCCCCUCAGCCCUCAGGAAAAGGCUUCAAUCACUGCUCCUCCAAUGGGACUGUAUCCCCUGGAGAGGGCUGAUGGUGUUUGCUGCCCAGGGCCAAAACUGCAGGUUCCCCACCCUAGUUCUGGCUCUGCACGGAGGUGGAGACGCGGCUAGAAGAUCGGAAGGAGGGUGUUUUAGAGGGGAAGCUUUGAAGUUUGGGCAGUGAAUGGUCCGAGGAUGGGGCAAGGGA